GCUGGGGUCCAAGGAGAAAGAAUGGUGUGCGGAUACAGAGCAGAGGGAGAGCGUGUGGCAAGGGAGACCUAAGGAAACAUGCACCAAACCUUCUCAGAGACACUGAUUAUCCUACUUAAUUGGCCUACCUGUGUAAUCUUCAGAUUCGUGCAGCCUGCGUACCUCUCCUCCAGUCUCAUUACUCAUGG